rnacentral:rRNA from 1 species
AUGGCCACGGCGGCGGCGGCGAAGCGGAAGCCGGUGUUCGUCAAGGUGGAUCAGCUCAAGCCCGUCACCAGCGGCCACACGCUCGUCGCCAAGGUGCUCAGCUCCAAGACCGUCCUCCAGAAGGCCCGCGCCGCUGGCGGCCCCGGCCCAGCCGCCAAGCCCACCAGGAUCGCCGAGUGCCUCAUCGGCGACGAGACCGGCUGCGUCCUCUUCACCGCCCGCAACGACCAGGUUGAUGUUUUGAAGCCUGGCAACACUGUCAUUAUCCGCAAUGCAAAGAUUGAUAUGUUCAAAGGUUCAAUGAGGCUUGCUGUUGACAAAUGGGGCCGUGUUGAAGUAACUGAACCAGCAAGCUUCGGUGUAAAGGAGGACAACAAUCUUUCACUUGUGGAGUAUGAACUUGUCAAUGUUGAAGAGUGA